UAUUGUCUCCUUCCCAUCCCUUCUUCCAGUGGGUGCAGAAAGUGCCUCUUCCUCUCCUGGUGGACCAGUUUUCCCUUCAGGAUCCUUAUGUAUCCCUGGCUUGCCUGGAAUUUGCUACUAGACCUAGAUAGCCUGGAACUCAGAGAUCCAUCUCCCUCUGCCUGUCAUCAUACCCGGCAAGCAUUUUUCCCCCUCUAUUAAAGGUAAUACGCCACCAAUAACCAAUAUUCCAUAAACCUCUCCCAUCCUGCUACCCCAUGUAUGUGCUAUCUGCCAACCCUUGGAUACUCCUGAGACUUCUGAUCACAAUCUUCUUUUUCUCAGCAAUUAUGAAUUAGUCAAUCACACCACAUUCUGACGUCCAGCUCCCACCAAUGGGGUAAGGGACAGUCAUGGUCUGUGUUACCACAAAAUAAGUGAACUUCCUGUCUGGUGUGCUUCCUAUUGGGUGUGUGCUGGAGCACUCUGCUUUGAUAGGCUGGUUUCAAUUCUUCCUGUGUUUGUGAGACACUGAGAAUAUUCUCCAACAACACUCACAGUAGAGUAUGGUGUCUUGCUUUCUCUUCUGUUAUUAAAUUUCCUGAAUUCUGGGCACUUUCUCAAAUCUUCAAAAUGAUAAAAUAGAGGGUGCAGACAGAGCUCUUUGAAGCCAGAAGAGUCAUUUAACCUCAGACAUUAUGGUAGUUAAGAAAGAGGGAUGGGGGGAUUUCAGACAAGUCUGGAGACUUAGAGGGCUCCCACAGCCUCUAGGGGCUUCUCUGUGUCCUCUUCAACACCUCUCUGUCUUCAUUUCCACUCAGGGUUGGGAUAUUUGGUGCUGGAAGCUGAGAGUUGGGAGUCUUCAAGGGAACGGGUAUAGUAAGGUACAGAUCUGAAUAUUAAGAUGGAGACAGUCCACUGCUCCUUCCUGUUGGGAGAUUCCUGGUGCCUCCCUCUUCCCUGUUUCUGAAAACUCCAUACAAGAUCCCAGCUCCAUUUUGAGAAGAACCAAAUUGUCUCUACAGGGAUGCCAUCAGUGGGGGCAUGCUUUUGGUUCCUUAUCAACUACACUGUCCUCUUUCUGAGAUUACUCCUGGCUUUUUGUGGUGUCCUGACUCCUUCCCUCAGGCUGUGCUCAUAGGCCCACACCAGAGAGCAGAAAACAAAACAAAACAAACAAAACAAACAACCCCCCAAUCUUAAAAUGUUGUCAUUGUGAAUCUACGAGCACACAGCUGUCAUCACAGAACCCAAGGGUGAGGGGGUGGAAGGCAGGGGGUCAGUAGCUCAAAGUCACCCUUAGUUUCUUAUCAAGUUUAAGGGCAUUCUCAGCUGCAUGUGAACUUGUCUCAAAAUAUUAAAAACUAGAAUAAAAAAUAAAAGUGAA